ensembl:snoRNA Gm24326 predicted gene, 24326
CCCACCCCAGAAGUGUUGCAAGUGUGGCUGCUGUGUCACCUAUGCAUCAGUAGGUGGCAGAGGGGAGAGAGGCUAGGUCUAUGCUCAGUGUUCUGACCUAUGAACAUGAUUAGUAGCCUAACAGU